rnacentral:hammerhead_ribozyme from 1 species
AUCCAUCUGAUGAGUCCUAAACAGAACGAAACGUGCGUCCUUGAU